rnacentral:lncRNA from 1 species
UUUAGUCGAAAUAUUAAUAAUUGAAUCUGAGUAUAUUAAAAUUACAUAAUAAAUUAAUUGAAUUACAAGAUAUCACAUGAAUAACGUGAUAAUCUGGUACAAUAUAGCGGAAGAGAAUUAAAUUCUAACUUAACAGAUUAACAUAAAAACAAAGAAGAAGACGAUAGUCUUCUAAUCCGAUAAUCCAAGCUCAACCUCGAUCAUCAGUUCCUGCCUAGUCCUUGCUCCGAUUAAC